UGAUGACAAAGGCAAACCAGUCCGAAAGGCUGGGACGCAAAGCCACGGGCCUACAGCGGUAUCCCGGGAACCGCCAUGGCAGCCGGGUUGUCGGA
rnacentral:ncRNA from 1 species